CACACAGCCACUGAGGAUGGAGCCAGGAUUUGAACCUGCAGUCCGAUCCCAGAGCCUAUACGCUUAACCACAGUGUCAUGCUAUCUUUCUCUUAAUCCACCCAGAAAUCCUAUAAUUCCUAUGCUUCCGGGAUACAUGGCAGUCAGCCUUUGAUCUUGGUGCCUCUGGUUAGCUGCAUGCUGCUGUUCUCCAAAGUGAAUAAUGACAAUGCCAUGUCUUCAAUGAGGCAGAACACCAACACUAAAUUGUGUCAUCGCUUCUCUCAUGCUGUAAAGUAGCAUGUGGUGGGCCCAGGAUCCCAGUCAGGGAAU